GAUGAAGAACGUAGCGAAAUGCGAUAAGUAAUGUGAAUUGCAGAAUUCAGUGAAUCAUCGAAUCUUUGAACGCACAUUGCGCCCGCCAGUAUUCUGGCGGGCAUGCCUGUUUGAGCGUCAUUUCAACCAUCAAGCCCCCGGGCUUGUGUUGGGGACCUGCGGCUGCCGCAGGCCCUGAAAACCAGUGGCGGGCUCGCUAGUCACUCCGAGCGUAGUAGUUACAUCUCGCUCAGGGCGUGCUGCGGGUUCCGGCCGUUAAAAGCCUUUUACCCCAAGGUUGACCUCGGAUCAGGUAGGAAGACCCGCUGAACUUAAGCAUAUCAAUAAGCGGAGG
rnacentral:misc_RNA from 1 species